rnacentral:rRNA from 1 species
UGGGGAAUAUUGCACAAUGGGCGCAAGCCUGAUGCAGCCAUGCCGCGUGUAUGAAGAAGGCCUUCGGGUUGUAAAGUACUUUCAGCGGGGAGGAAGGGAGUAAAGUUAAUACCUUUGCUCAUUGACGUUACCCGCAGAAGAAGCACCGGCUAACUCCGUGCCAGCAGCCGCGGUAAUACGUAGGUGGCAAGCGUUGUCCGGAUUUAUUGGGCGUAAAGCGAGCGCAGGCGGUUUCUUAAGUCUGAUGUGAAAGCCCCCGGCUCAACCGGGGAGGGUCAUUGGAAACUGGGAGACUUGAGUGCAGAAGAGGAGAGUGGAAUUCCAUGUGUAGCGGUGAAAUGCGUAGAUAUAUGGAGGAACACCAGUGGCGAAGGCGGCUCUCUGGUCUGUAACUGACGCUGAGGCUCGAAAGCGUGGGGAGCAAACAGG